rnacentral:rRNA from 1 species
AUUGAACGCUGGCGGCAGGCCUAACGCAUGCGAGUCGAGCGGAUGAAGGGAGCUUGCUCCUGGAUUCAGCGGCGGACGGGUGAGUAAUGCCUAGGAAUCUGCCUGGUAGUGGGGGAUAACGUCCGGAAACGGGCGCUAAUACCGCAUACGUCCUGAGGGAGAAAGUGGGGGAUCUUCGGACCUCACGCUAUCAGAUGAGCCUAGGUCGGAUUAGCUAGUUGGUGGGGUAAAGGCCUACCAAGGCGACGAUCCGUAACUGGUCUGAGAGGAUGAUCAGUCACACUGGAACUGAGACACGGUCCAGACUCCUACGGGAGGCAGCAGUGGGGAAUAUUGGACAAUGGGCGAAAGCCUGAUCCAGCCAUGCCGCGUGUGUGAAGAAGGUCUUCGGAUUGUAAAGCACUUUAAGUUGGGAGGAAGGGCAGUAAGUUAAUACCUUGCUGUUUUGACGGUACCAACAGAAUAAGCACCGGCUAACUUCGUG